rnacentral:rRNA from 1 species
CGAGCGGUAAGGCCUCUUCGGGGGUACACGAGCGGCGAACGGGUGAGUAACACGUGAGUAAUCUGCCCUCCACUUCGGGAUAAGCCUCGGAAACGGGGUCUAAUACCGGAUAUGACUCUCCUCGGCAUCGGGGUGGGUGGAAAGUUUUUUCGGUGGGGGAUGUGCUCGCGGCCUAUCAGCUUGUUGGUGGGGUAAUGGCCUACCAAGGCUUCGACGGGUAGCCGGCCUGAGAGGGUGACCGGCCACACUGGGACUGAGACACGGCCCAGACUCCUACGGGAGGCAGCAGUGGGGAAUAUUGGACAAUGGGCGGAAGCCUGAUCCAGCAACGCCGCGUGAGGGAUGACGGCCUUCGGGUUGUAAACCUCUUUCAGUAGGGACGAAGCGCAAGUGACGGUACCUACAGAAGAAGCACCGGCCAACUACGUGCCAGCAGCCGCGGUAAUACGUAGGGUGCGAGCGUUGUCCGGAAUUAUUGGGCGUAAAGGGCUCGUAGGCGGUUUGUCGCGUCGGGAGUGAAAACCCAGGGCUUAACUCUGGGCUGGCUUCCGAUACGGGCAGACUAGAGGCAUGCAGGGGAGAACGGAAUUCCUGGUGUAGCGGUGAAAUGCGCAGAUAUCAGGAGGAACACCGGUGGCGAAGGCGGUUCUCUGGGCAUGUCCUGACGCUGAGGAGCGAAAGUGUGGGGAGCGAACAGGAUUAGAUACCCUGGUAGUCCACACCGUAAACGUUGGGCGCUAGGUGUGGGAUCCAUUCCACGGGUUCCGUGCCGCAGCUAACGCAUUAAGCGCCCCGCCUGGGGAGUAC